GACGAACGCUGGCGGCGUGCCUAAUACAUGCAAGUCGAACGAAGCUGUUUUAACUGGUGCUUGCACCGACUUAAACAACUGAGUGGCGAACGGGUGAGUAACUCGUGGGUAACCUGCCCCAAAGCGGGGGAUAACAUUUGGAAACAGAUGCUAAUACCGCAUAACCACAGAAACCACAUGGUUUCUGUGUCAAAGAUGGUUUCGGCUAUCACUUUGGGAUGGACCCGCGGCGUAUUAGCUAGUUGGUAAGGUAAUGGCUUACCAAGGCAAUGAUACGUAGACGAACUGAGAGGUUGAUCGGCCACAUUGGGACUGAGACACGGCCCAAACUCCUACGGGAGGCAGCAGUAGGGAAUCUUCCACAAUGGACGCAAGCCUGGUGGAGCAACACCGCGUGAGUGAAGAAGGGUUUCGGCUCGUAAAACUCUGUUGUUAAAGAAGAACGUAUCUAAGAGUAACUGCUUAGGUAGUGACGGUAUUUAACCAGAAAGCCACGGCUAACUACGUGCCAGCCGCCGCCGUAA
rnacentral:rRNA from 1 species